GUGCCAGCAGCCGCGGUAAUACGAAGGGGGCUAGCGUUGCUCGGAAUCACUGGGCGUAAAGGGCGCGUAGGCGGCCGGCCAAGUCGGGGGUGAAAGCCUGUGGCUCAACCACAGAAUGGCCCUCGAUACUGGACGGCUCGAGACCGGAAGAGGUUGGUGGAAUUGCGAGUGUAGAGGUGAAAUUCGUAGAUAUUCGCAAGAACACCGGUGGCGAAGGCGGCCAACUGGUCCGGAUCUGACGCUGAGGCGCGAAAGCGUGGGGAGCAAACAGGAUUAGAUACCCCGGUAGUCC
rnacentral:rRNA from 1 species